CGCAUGGAGACAGUACAAGCGGAGGCUUCAAUCUCUUCUCCGUCUCUCUGACGUUCGAGAAUUCUAUCGGAGCAGUCGGAGGAAAAACUUGAGGAAUCUCAAGGAACCGCUAUAGAUGCCGCUAUCGUUGUCGGAAGACACGUGAGUCCGCUUAGAGACGACUAGGUGAAUUGCUUUAAGGAACAUUAUGCUGAAGGACGUCGAGACACAACGCUCUGAUAGAAUGUGACAGUGGGACAUAAGUUUUUAUAUUAGUGGCAUGAUGUUAGUCUAUUUUAUUUUAUUUCACUGAUUUAAUAAAAUAUCUCUGUAAAUUUUGAUGGCCUUAUUUUGAGCCAAAUAUGUUUCAAUAAGUUUUAAUUGAUAAUAGUGAAGUGAAUGUGAACCUUUUACCCGUGUGAA